UUUUCCGCACCUCAAGUCGAUGACUUGGACCAUGGAAAAUUGCAGCUCGGACCAAACAAAGAGAACGGCGGUCAUCACACUAAAGGUUUUUGAAAUAUGGGAACUAGCAAAACGGAAGUAAAUUUAAGAAGAUUACUUGCUGCUGCACCUAAACAGCAGAACCAAGGAAAGCUUGUUCAUGUAUUCUUUUUCAACUCUCAACUUCUGUAGUUUUUGUUUUUGGUAAUGGGUGUGUGAUUAAAUGGGUUUAAGUUUGGAAUUAGCAUCAUUUUUUGUCCCUUUUUUCUAUCGUUAGCCAAUCUUUUUGCGGUUUCUGUAACUCAACUAAGUUAAAUUUUAUUUAUUGUAUUUCUGGAUAGGCUUUUGGGCCAUAGCAAUAUCUAAUAGAGCAAAAAUGUGCGUCUGUAUAAAGGAAGUUGAAGAGCUAUGGAAGCAGGUCUAUAUUGAGAUGCAUUUCUUUGGCGCAAUACUAGACAACAUUGACAGUUGAAGUUUUUAGAAUAAAAAAUAUAUUUCACUAACAUUUGAUACAUUUCUUGUUUAUUAUUUGGUGAUGAUAAAAUUUGAUUGUAGUAUAAACUAUCAUGUAAUAUGAUUUUGUAAGCCGAGUAGACUAAAUACUGAAAUUAU